AGCAAGGUUUAAAGCAUGGUUUUAUAUGAAGAGUUAUUUGCAUUACGUUGAUAAUAAUUUAUUAUUAUCAUUUAUAUAGUUUCUGGUAUUAUUAAUAUACACUAUCAAUAGUGUAUAUUUAUGAUUUUGAUAGAAUUUAAUAAAUGAUGUGCCUUGAAUAGGAUUUGUAUGGAUUUGAUUGAUUGACUCUUGGUGAGGAAUUUUAAAAUAAGCUAAGGACCUAAGGUGUGGCUUUAGCUGUUGAGCAACUUGUGGAGCACGGACUCAGUAGCAAUGCAAUAAUGGUUUUAGAGUUUUCAUAUGGCUGCCUUAAAUUUAAAGUAUUCAUGCGUGUAAUAAUUUCUUCUAAUAAGUUUAUAUAAAAGUUUUAAAUUUUUCUGUAUUUCUUCGUAUCAUUUUAUUUAAUUCUUUUGGUCAAGUGCCUUACAUACUCGUAAACCCUAGAAUUACGAGUAUGUGGCAGACGUACCCUACCUUAGGGACGUUACAAAUGGUAUCAGAGCUUUGAGUUUGUAGAUGUCGUAUACUCGUUAUGUUAUUAGAUUUUGGGAUCUGAAAUGCUACUGAGUUCCGCCACAAGACAAGCCACACGUUAAUGGUUAGUAUAAUUUAUCCAUAUUUUAGUUAAUGUAUGUUAAUGAUGUUGUAUAAUUGUAUUAGAAACUCAUUGUGUUAUUGAGUUUCCAUGAUAUAAGUAUGAGUUUGGAUUAAAUGAAUAUUCUCAUGCACGGUAGAGAAAUUGAAGUUUGUUAUUUAUCUGAAUGCAUGCCUUUAUUAUUGAUGUGAUAAAUAAUUGAUGAUUUAUCGAUGUCGAUGUUUGGAUUGUUAAUUGAUAUUCUCAAGCUUUGAAAGUGACCUAUCAGUCCAGUUAGUGUGUUAAGGGUUAAUAUGUCAGGUUAGUGUUUUGGAGAGCAGAGUUUUAGGUUGUUGCUGAGAGCACACACAAUAAGAGACUUUAGUGAAACAGUAGUAAUAUAUAGAAAAAAAAAAAAAAAAAAAAAUACAUAA